rnacentral:rRNA from 1 species
AUUGAACGCUGGCGGCAGGCCUAACACAUGCAAGUCGAGCGAGCGGCGGAGGGGUGAGUAAUGUAUGGGGACUGCCCGAUAGAGGGGGAUAACUCCUGGAAACGGUAGCUAAUACCGCAUACUAUCUCAGAACACAUAUGGGAUUAGCUAGUAGGGGGGGUAAUGGCUCACCUAGGCGACGAUCCCUAGCUGGUCUGAGAGGGUGAUCAGCCAAACUGGGACUGAGACACGGCCCAGACUCCUACGGAGGCAGCAGUGGGGAAUAUUGCACAAUGGGCGCAAGCCUGAUGCAGCCAUGCCGCGUGUAUGAAGAAGGCCCUAGGGUUGUAAAGUACUUUCAGUCGGGAGGCGUUACCGACAGAAGAAGCACCGGCUAACUCCGUGCCAGCAGCCGCGGUAAUAC